rnacentral:rRNA from 1 species
UACGUAGGCAGCAAGCGUUGUUCGGAGUUACUGGGCGUAAAGAGUAUGUAGGCGGUUGCUUAAGUUUGGUGUGAAAUCUCCCGGCUCAACUGGGAGGGUGCGCCGAAGACUGGAAGGCUUGAGUAUGGGAGAGGUAAGCGGAAUUCCUGGUGUAGCGGUGAAAUGCGUAGAUAUCAGGAGGAACACCUGCGGUGUAGACGGCUUACUGGACCAUAACUGACGCUGAGGCACGAAAGCGUGGGUAGCAAACAGG